AUAUCAAUAAGCGGAGGAAAAGAAACUAACAAGGAUUCCCCUAGUAACUGCGAGUGAAGCGGGAAAAGCUCAAAUUUAAAAGCUGGCAGCCUUUGGCUGUCCGCAUUGUAAUCUAGAGAAGUGUUACCCGCGCUGGACCGUGUACAAGUCUCCUGGAAUGGAGCGUCAUAGAGGGUGACAAUCCCGUCUUUGACACGGACUACCAGGGCUUUGUGGUGCGCUCUCAAAGAGUCGAGUUGUUUGGGAAUGCAGCUCAAAAUGGGUGGUAAAUUCCAUCUAAAGCUAAAUAUUGGCGAGAGACCGAUAGCGAACAAGUACCGUGAGGGAAAGAUGAAAAGAACUUUGGAAAGAGAGUUAAACAGUACGUGAAAUUGCUGAAAGGGAAACGCUUGAAGUCAGUCGCGUUGUCCGGGGAUCAACCUUGCUUUUGCUGGGCGUACUCUCCGGGCGACGGGCCAGCAUCAAUUUUGACCGCUGGAAAAAGGCUGAGGGAAUGUGGCAUCUUCGGAUGUGUUAUAGCCCUCGGUCAUAUACAGUGGUUGGGAUUGAGGAACUCAGCACGCCGCAAGGCCGGGUUUUUAACCACGUUCGUGCUUAGGAUGCUGGCAUAAUGGCUUUAAUCGACCCGUCUUGAAACACGGACCAAGGAGUCUAACAUGCCUGCGAGUGUUUGGGUGGUAAACCCGAGCGCGUAAUGAAAGUGAAAGUUGAGAUCCCUGUCGUGGGGAGCAUCGACGCCCGGACCAGACCUUUUGUGACGGAUCUGCGGUAGAGCAUGUAUGUUGGGACCCGAAAGAUGGUGAACUAUGCCUGAAUAGGGUGAAGCCAGAGGAAACUCUGGUGGAGGCUCGUAGCGAUUCUGACGUGCAAAUCGAUCGUCAAAUUUGGGUAUAGGGGCGAAAGACUAAUCGAACCAUCUAGUAGCUGGUCCUG
rnacentral:rRNA from 1 species